AUUGAACGCUGGCGGAAUGCUUUACACAUGCAAGUCGAACGGCAGCACGGACUUCGGUCUGGUGGCGAGUGGCGAACGGGUGAGUAACAUAUCGGAACGUAUCCAAUAAUGGGGGAUAACGAGUCGAAAGAUUCGCUAAUACCGCAUACGCCCUACGGGGAAAGCUGGGGACCUUCGGGCCUGGCGUUAAUGGAGCGGCCGAUAUCUGAUUUGCUAGUUGGUGAGGUACAGGCUCACCAAGGCGACGGUCAGUAGCUGGUCUGAGAGGACGACCAGCCACACUGGGACGGCGACUCGGUCCAGACGCCUACGGUAGGCAGCAGUGGGGAAUUUUUGAGAGUGGGGGCAAGCCUGACCCAGCCAUUCCGCGUGAGAGAAGAAGGCAUUCGGGUUGUAAAGCUCUUUCGCAAGGGAAGAAAACUUAGCCACUAACAUCGGUUGAGGUUGACGGUACCUUGAUAAGAAGCACCGGCUAACUACGUGCCAGCCGCCGCAGUAA
rnacentral:rRNA from 1 species